rnacentral:rRNA from 1 species
AUUGAACGCUGGCGGCAUGCCUUACACAUGCAAGUCGAACGGUAACGCGGGGCAACCUGGCGACGAGUGGCGAACGGGUGAGUAAUAUAUCGGAACGUGCCCAGUAGUGGGGGAUAGCCCGGCGAAAGCCGGAUUAAUACCGCAUACGACCCAAGGGUUAAAGCGGGGGAUCGCAAAACCUCGCGCCAUUGGAGCGGCCGAUAUCAGAUUAGCUAGUUGGUGGGGUAAAAGCCUACCAAGGCGACGAUCCGUAGCUGGUCUGAGAGGACGACCAGCCACACUGGGACUGAGACACGGCCCAGACUCCUACGGGAGGCAGCAGUGGGGAAUAUUGGACAAUGGGCGGAAGCCUGAUCCAGCAAUGCCGCGUGUGUGAAGAAGGCCUGCGGGUUGUAAAGCACUUUCAGUUGGGAGGAAGGUUUUGCCAUGAAUAAUGGUGAGAAUUGACGUUACCGACAGAAGAAGCACCGGCUAACUCUGUGCCAGCCGCCGCCGUAA